GUAUUUAAGAUUUUUUCCAUAUUAAGCUUAUAUUUCUUUCACAUAAUAUAUAUAUAUGUCAUAAAAAUUACCAUCAAAUCAGUUUUACUUAUUUAUUAUUUUGUUUUUAAUGAAAAUACACUUUUUAAAUAAUUUAAUUUAAAAUAAAAUUAUAUAUAUUAACUUGUUGUAUUCUAACAAUUUGAUUGACUUAAUUAAUUUUCUUUGGUGGAUAACUUAAAAAGUUUUUAUAUGAAUCAGAGAAAACAAACUUAUGUUGUUA
rnacentral:lncRNA from 1 species